CAAGAUCUAGAAGCUUCUCCUUUAAGUUUGCCUAUAAAAGGCAUGCCUCUUUGCCUUAAUAGAUAAGUUUGGAGUGCCCAAAAAUGCCCCCCAAAAAUGUUUCUCCCUAGUUCUAGAUCUGAUAAUAGAAAUUCAAAUUCAAUAAAAACAAAAACAAUAAAAAACCUUCGAAAAAUCCAAAAAUACUGUUCUAUUAGAAUUUUAGGUUAAUUUCAGCUUUUGGUUGUUUAUUUGUUGAUUUUCCAGUUUAGUUUUUUAUUGCUCUGGUUUCAGAGAUCUACUAUUUGGUUUUGAUUGGUUUUGGUCUCAACAGAGUUAUUGUGGGGUCAGCUCUUGGGUUUUAUGCUUCUGUGAAAUAUUCUGGGGCAUUUACAAGCAUAUCUGGCUUCAUUCGACUGAUCGUUGGUCGAUUUUGAUUACUGGAGAAAUCCUAUAGUUUCUGGGUCAAGUUUGUGUUUUGAUUGCUUGGAUUUUGUUUGGUUUCAAACUCCCUUAGUCAUUGAAGUGAUUUAUGAUGAUUUAUUUCUGCUCAUAGCUGUUGUUGCUGGCUGAUUUUGCUUCUUCCUAUUUCUGAAUUCCAGGUAUUUUUCCUUGGCCUCAUUUGAACUAAAAGGAUCCAUGUGGAUUUACUGACUUGGAAGCUAAAUGAUGAAGAGUUCUAAUUGAUUGUUGAAUAAUUUAGUUUCUGCUUGGUAUUGAGAUGGAUCAGUCAUGCAUAUAUAAUUUGUACUGUCUGUAAUAAGUUGGACUAUAUGACUUAUCUUCAGACUCACGUAUAGGUUGAAUGCCUAGUCUAGUUUCAGUAGUAAUAAAUAGGUUCAAAUGGUUUCACUAGUUAUAAAUAGGUUCAAAUAGUUAUAAACAAUGUUAGUGAUUAAUGUUAGUCAGCUCUCAAGCACUGAUUCAUUUCAAUAGUUGUAUAAUAGUUCCGUGUUUCAUAUAGUUCACCUCCGUAGUUCAUCUAAUUUUAAAAUACCACAUUGCUUGAAUGCUAGUCCAGUAGAGGUAGUUUGAAUAAUGGAAGACUUUGGGAUUGGGGCAAUGGUUGACUCAUAUACAGUAUAUAAAAUCACACGACUCCAGUUUGUGUUCCUAGUUCAUUUUCACCAUAAACAAUUUGAUUAGUGCCUGCCCUGUUGUAAGUUGUUUAAACAUAUUUGGAGUAGCUUGAUACCAAUUCAGCAUAUUCUCAUUUUGAGUUGGAUUUUCGUUUUGGUGCAAGGCUCAACAGCCUACUUUCCACGAAUUGAAAUUUAUCUCACCUGAUGCAGGCCCAGGUCCGGUUACUGAUUUCCUCUUUAAUUGGGCAUGGGCCAAAUUUUGUGACUGACCAAUGUGUUGGUGUAGAACAGUGUAAUUUCCCUUUGUUGGGGCUCGACUCGGAUCCCAGUGGUUGAUCAUUGGUGCGGAAUUUUUUCCUUUCAUUGAAUAAGCCCGGUAACUAAAUUAACAAGAACCACUUCUUUUUAGAGACAAAUAAUUAGAAAAUCAUAGUUACUUUAGGUUUUGUGUUUUAAAUAAAAAUGAUAUGAGCCUCGCCAAAUUAAAAGGAAAAAUUGCGGGGCCCUCAAUAAAUUGUUGUACAUAGAAUUUGGGAUAGGCCGUUUAGCGAGUUUCAUGGCCUUUCCCAAAUAAUAAUGCGUUACUCUCUUUAGCCGAUCACAUUAAUAACAUUACCUUCCUAAAUUCGGGUGCACAUUUAUGUGACCCAAAUUCAAAUAUCGAUGAAGUCAAAAUGUGUCGGCAACCACGGGUGUGUUGAUGUGACGUGGUUUGAGACACGUUCCUACGACGUUGCAAUUAUCAUGAAAAAUUAUAAUAAAGGCAGUUUAUAAUUAAAAUGCACAUAAUCUAAAACAUGUUUUGAAAUCAGAUAAAUCCAUAUGUAAUAGUUGAGUGAUCGUGCUAGAACCACGAAACCCGAGAAUGCCUAACACCUUCUCCCGGUUUAAUAGAAUUCCUUACUUGGAUUUCUGGUUCGCAGGCUGUUAACAAAGUCAUACUUUUCCUCAAUUCGGGAUUCAAUCGGUGACUUUGGAUACCAUUAAUCUCCCAAGUGGAGACUCUGAAUCUUAAUAAUAAAUCCCAUUUCGAUUAUCCUUUUAUUGAAAAACUCCUUUACGCCUUUGCGGGUGUAGUGAAAAAGGAAGUGUGACAAGUAAUAAAUGAGUGAUUAGCAUUUUUCUUUCUUGUUUCUAGUUUCAGUUAUAUAUUUUUUGACCAAAGUUCUAGAAUUUUAUUGCCAAGUUCAAGAACAUGGUUCUUCAACUCAGCAUUUUCGUUAUCACUCUCAUCAGCCCUAGAUCCUAGACUUUUGCAUAUUGCUAUUAGGGUAGCACAUUCCCUAGACAGAACUUCCUUUUCAUUGUUAACUAUUUCAGACUCAUCAAUGAAGUCUAAUAAUAGCUCAGCCAACCUCUCUUUGGACAGAAAUUUAAUUUUGUCCUUGAGAUGCAGAAUACUUACCCGCUGCUCAUUAUCUGAUUCUCCAAUGGCCAUAAGAGCUUGCUCUUUUUCAGCUUCAGCUUCUGCGUCUUAAUCAUAGGUUUCACCCCAAGCAACAACCAUAGCCUUGGUUGAACCUUUGUUUUUCUUGGGUUGAACCUUACCCUUCUUUAUGUUUCUCCGUUCAACUCUUUCUUUCUUCCACUCAACCUCCCAUUGAGGGUAAUUCCUGAUCAUAUGGUCUAUCUUACACACUUAUAGUGGCCAUCAUUUUUCUGUUUCUCAGGAGCUCUUGUCUUGUUGAAAAUUGUCCCUCUUGAUGAACCAUUUCCUCUCAUCAGGUAUUUUUGAAGUCUCUAGUGAUCAUAUCCAUCUCAUUAUCUUCCAGGUCUAAAUUUUGAGAGCCAAACAUCUCUCCUUCUUGGGUGUAUCUGUCUUCCUAGUUUUCCUUCUUAGUUCAUAGGCAGUAAGAUACCAAAUCAAAUCAUCUAGCCUAAAAGUGGCCAUAUUCUUGGAUUCCUGAAUGGCAGUGAUUUUGCUUUCCCAAGCAACUGGAAGAACUCUUGUCAAGAUCUUCUCAACCUUGUCUUUUUCAAGAAUAAUUCUCCCAAGAGAUUUAAGUUCAAUUGUUAGUGUUGUGAACCCUGUGUACAUUGUCAAGAUCUUCUCAACCUUGUCUUCUUCAAGAAUAACUUUUCCAAGAGACUUAAAUUCAUUUGUCAUAGUAGUGAACCUAGUGUACAUCUAUUGAAUGGUUUCUCCAUAUGUCAUAGUGAAAUUCUCAUAUUGAGAAUAUAGCAAAGUUCCUCUGGAUCUCUUCACUUGAGGUGUUCCUUCAUGAGCCACUUGCAAAGUGUCCCAUAUCNNNNNNNNNNNNNNNNNNNNNNNNNNNNNNNNNNNNNNNNNNNNNNNNNNNNNNNNNNNNNNNNNNNNNNNNNNNNNNNNNNNNNNNNNNNNNNNNNNNNNNNNNNNNNNNNNNNNNNNNNNNNNNNNNNNNNNNNNNNNNNNNNNNNNNNNNNNNNNNNNNNNNNNNNNNNNNNNNNNNNNNNNNNNNNNNNNNNNNNNNNNNNNNNNNNNNNUCUCAUUUUUCAUUGUAGUUGCCAAAGGACCAUCAGUGACUAUGUCCCAGAGUUCAUAGUCUUCACCUAUGAUGAGAUCUUUUAUCCUGCUCUUCCACCAUGAGUAAUACUGUACAUUGAACAGUGGAGGCCUAGCAGUGGAUUGCUCUUUCCAGUUCCCAGGUAGUGCACUCAUGUUGAUCUUUUCCUAAGGUGUUAGCCUCUUCAAGGAUAACCUGCUCUGAUACAACUAAUGUUCUUAACGUCAAUACCAUACANNNNNNNNNNNNNNNNNNNNNNNNNNNNNNNNNNNNNNNNNNNNNNNNNNNNNNNNNNNNNNNNNNNNNNNNNNNNNNNNNNNNNNNNNNNNNNNNNNNNNNNNNNNNNNNNNNNNNNNNNNNNNNNNNNNNNNNNNNNNNNNNNNNNNNNNNNNNNNNNNNNNNNNNNNNGUACAUAAAAUAAAGAACACAUAGAUUUUUACGUGGAAAACACCUGGCUCAAAAGGUGAAAAAACCACGACCUACUACUCAGUAGGAUUUUACCAAACUUUUACUAAAAUCACUGAGCCAAAAUAGCAUUUACAAAAACUCUUUGUAAACCUAAGGAUUAAAUCUAAUCCCAGUGUGGCACACGGCCUCAAUUAUUUCCAUACUUUCAAGUUAACUCUAACUUGAAUACUCAAAGUGCCUAAUACAAUUGCUUCUAAAUAAGCUGAAAGGUACAAAUAAAAACACCUACUAGAAUUGAACUAGAAUAAGACUAAACACAAUGGAACUGGUUCAUCUAUCUUGUUCAUGUAGCGUGCACACUCAAUCUCACAUAAAUAGCUUGAAAAUUAGCCUUGCUAUUUUGCUCUCAAUUUUUCUUACUCCAGCGUAGGUGCGUAUCUGUAAAAGAGAACAAACUCAGAUAUUUAUUGAGUUAGUAACCAGAGUUUGAUUGAGAGUCAAUUUCUUAUCCUUAGACGAAUUUGAGUCCUUGAACAAUACAAAAUCCAACCCUUAUCCUUGAUUAGGAUCGUGUUCUCUUCUCAUAAGGAGAUUGUUCUCCUUAUCCCAAAUGCAAUCUUUUCUAUUAGAUUCGAAACUUUUGCAUUUUGCUUUUAGGAUAGCACAUUCCCUAGAUAGAACUUCCUUUUCAUUAUUGAAAAGUUCAGAAGAUAUUGUUGCUUGAUCUCUACGACAUAUCUUCCCCACGUGCAUAUCAUAUGCAAUGGUUGAUAAACACUGUGUCUCACUAGAUGGGCCAGGUACUUAGUUCAUUUGUCAAUCUUCAAAACCUCAACUGAAACUUGGGCCAACAGCAAUUUCAGUAAUAAACAUGCAUGGUUUAGUAAAAAUAUGACAGAAGUACAUAAUUAAGAAUUAUUUAUAGAUGAACCGACUACUGGGAUGUGAUUAAAGACAUUGCAACCUUUCUUGCUACCGAAUUUUGAGGGUCCUCUAAAUCCGCCCCAGUUUAAUAGGUUGACAUUUUUGACUGUUGCUUGCGAUGAUUGGCUAAAAUUGCUCUGGAAUUUUGAGGGUCCUCCUCAAAAUUCUACCUUAGUUUCCUAUUGUAGGGAAAAAUGAAAAUUUUAUUUAAUUGUGACCGAACGCAUAGGGCUUCCUAUGUAUUCCAUCUUAAAUGGGAAUCAGGUCAGGCGUUGUUUAAUUUACAUCAUCUAAGGAAAGCAUGAAAAUUACACAUAGUAGCACUUGACUGCAUCUGAAUUAAUUGGUUUUGGCCAGACUUCUCCGUCCAUUUCGGCAAGUAUUAGGGCUCCUCAUGUCAGAACCCAAAUAACCAUGUAUGGACCCUGCCAGUUGAGAGAGAACUUCUCUUUGGCUUCAACUUGAUGUGGGAAAAUUUUCUUUAUCACUAGCUGCCCCGGUGCAAACUCUCUUAUUUUGACUCUUUUGUUGAAGGCUCUGGACAUUCUGUUUUGAUAAAGCUGACCAUGGAAAACUAUAUUCAUUCUCUUUUCAUCUAUAAGAGCUAACUGCUCGUAACGACUAUUCACCCAUUCUGCAUCGUCGAGCUCAGUUUCAUGUAUGACUCUUAAGGAAGGAAUUCCCACUUUGGUGGGGAUGACAACUUCUGUACCAUAAACCACGAUAUAAGGGAUUACCCCAAUUGAUGUGCGGAUUGUGGUGCAAUACCCCAAUAAAGCAAAUGAUAGCUUCUUGUGCCACUGCUUAUGCUUCUCUAUCAUUUUCCUUAGUAUCUUCUUGAUAUUCUUAUUGGCAGCUUCUACGGCUCCGUUCAUCUGAGGUCUGUGGGCUGUAGAAUUCUUGUGCCUGGUCUUGAAGGUUUCACACAUGGCUUUCAUCAAGUCACUAUUGAGAGGCCUUUACAGCUUCAUUCAUCUUAGGUUUGUAGGCUGUUGAAUUCUUGUUUCUGAUCUUGAAAUUUUCACACAUAGGGUUCAUCAAGUCAAUGUUGAUGUUGGAGCCAUUCUCAAUAAUGAUUGAUUCUGGAAUCCCAAAUUUACAAAUGAUGCAGUCACGGACAAAGUAUGCCACGACUUUCUUCGUUACUGCUCUAUAAGACGCUGCUUCGACCCAUUUGGUAAAAUAGUUGAUUACUACCAAGAUAAAUCUGUACCAUUAGAACUGGCGAGCUCGAUUGGUCCAAUAAUGUCCAUUCCCCAAGCAACAAACGACCAUGUUGAGCUUUUUGCAUUAAGCUCAUUUGGAGGCACCCUUAUCAUGUCUGGAUGUAUUUGACAGCGAUGUCAUUUUUGGACUCCGUUUCCAUAGUCAUCCAAAAGUAACCAACUUAGAGUAUCUUCUUUGCUAAGAAAAAACUAUUCAUAUGUGGACCGUAGGUCCCAUCGUUAACUUCCUCUACUAGUCUAGAUGCUUCCUUUGCGUCGACGCACCUUAAUAACCCUAAACCAGGAGUCCUCAUAUACUGGAUUCCUUCGCUGUAAAAGAAAUUAUUGGACAACCUCCAAAGUGUGCAUUUCUGAGUUGGAUUUGCAAGCUCUAGGUACUCUCCUUUUUCCAAAUACUCCUUGAUGUCAUGAAACCAAGGCUUUCCAUCUGCUUCAUCUUCAAUGUGGGCAUUGUAAACUGGCUGGUCAUGGAUCUUUAUUGGAAUGGGAUCAAUGAAACUCUUGUCUGGAUGUUGUAUCAUAGAUGAUAAGGUAGCAAUGCAUUGGCGAACUCAUUCUGGAUUCUAGGCACAUAUUUUAAUCUCGUCUUUGUGAACCUCUUUCUCAAUUCCUAUACAUUAUGCAGAUAUGGGAGUAUCUUGGAGUUCUUGGUUGCCUAUUCUUCUUGGAUCUGAUGUAUGAGUAGGUCUGGAUCUCCAACCAGUAUAUCUCUUGAAUGUUCAUGUCAAUGGCCAUUUUGAGCCCUAGGAUGCAAGCUUCGUAUUCGACCAUAUUGUUAGUGUACGAGAACCUGAGUUUGGUAGACACCGGAUAAUGCUGACCGGCUUCUGAUAGUACGACUACUCCUAUGCCAACUCCUUCGAAAUUUGUUUCUCCACCAAAAAAACAUUCUGCAACCAUCAUAGGAUACUGCAAUGUCUUCUCCUAUGAAUGAUACGUCUUCAUCAGGAAAAUACAUUUUUGGGGGUCCGUAUUCUCCUCCCACUGGAUUUUCAACAAGGUGUUCUGCUAGUGUUUUCCCCUUGAUUGCCUUCUGAGUUACGUAGACAAUGUCAAAUUCACUCAACAAGAUUUGCCACUUGGCUAGCUUACCCUUUGGCAUGGGAUUUUGAAGAUGUACUUUAAAGGAUCCAUCCUUGAUAUGAGAUAUAUGGUAUAGGCGCAGAAGUAAUGACUCAGCUUCUGAGCUACCGAAGUCAAAGCACAAUAGGUGCGCUCUAAGAGACUGGACCUCGUACGAGGUGAACUUCUUAUUGAAGCAAUAGAUGGCAUGCUCCUUCCUCCUCGUUUCAUCAUGCUGCCUCAGAACACAAUUGAACGCUCCAUCUGAUACUGCAAGGUAGACUAAUAAGGGUCUACCUGGCUAAGGCAGGACUAAGACUGGUGGCAUUGACAUAUAUUUUUUGAUUCUGUCAAAAGCCUUUUGGCAGUCAUCUGUCCAUUUGGUAGCAUCAUCCUUCUUGUUCUUCGGCGGUGGCAAUUCCUAGAUGGCUUUGACUUUUGAAGGGUCAAGUUCUAUUCCUCGGUGACUCACAAUAAACCCAAGUAAUUUUCCAGUAGGAACUCCAAAUGCACAUUUAGCGAGAUUCAAUUUUAGGUUGUACAUUUGCAGUCUAUUUAAGAACUUCCUCAAAUCUUCCAUGAUCAGUGGCCUUCUUGGACUUGACGAUAACAUUAUCUAAGUACACCUCUACCUUCUUGUGUAUCAUAUCAUGCAAAAUGGUGGUCAUGGCCCUCGUGUAGGUGGCCCCUGCAUUAUUAACCCAAAAGGCAUCAUCUUCUAAAAAUACAUUCCCCACGAUGUAAUGAAAGCCAUUUUCUCAGCAUCUUCUUCGUCCAUCCAGAUCUGAUGAUAACCAGCGAAACAUUCCAUAAAUGACUGUAACUUAUGCUUGGCGAAAUUGUCAAUCGGGAUGCGUAUGUUUGGCAAGGGGAAGUCAUCCUUUGGACUCGCCCGGUGGAGAUCACGGUAUUCGACACAGACUCUAACCUUCCCGUCCUUCUUUGGUACUGGCAUGAUAUUGGCUAACCAUGUCAGCUAUCCUACUACCCUGAGAACCUUAACUUUGACCUGCUUAGUGACUUCUUCCUUGAUUUUCGAACUCAUAUCGGGCUUGAACGUUUUGAGCAUUUGCUUUACCGGCGGACAUGUUGGAUCGGUUGGCAGUUUGUGAGCCACAAUGGACGUGCUCAGGCCAGUCAUAUCAUCAUACGUCCCGGCAAAUAUGUCCUUAUAUUCUCUUAGAAAUACUCUGUAUUACUUCUUUUCUAACGGUGAUAAAUGAACAUUGAUUCGUGUUUCUUUGACUUUUUUGCAUCUCUAUGGUUAACAAUGUCAGUUUCAUCCAGGUUGGACUUAAGUCUAUUCUCGAAAUUCUCAAUUUCUUUAACAAUCUCUUCUGGUAUGUCAUCUUCCUUUGAGUCUAUGUCCGUUUGUUGCGUUGUCUCGUUGCAUGUCACAGUCAUUGGUUCAUCAAGAUAAGUAAUAGUAAUGCAGUAUAAGUAAAGUAAUGAGAGAAAAAUAAUAAUGGUCAUUGAAUCAUGAUAAAAGUUAAAAUGCUUUAAUAUAUUUCAUAUCGUUUUGAAAAUUGGAGAUCUUAUUGCAGGAAUUCAAAACAUACUAGAAAUAAAAUCUUUUAGUAAAUAAAACAGUGCUUGUUUUAGCCUUGCUACCAUGAGGCUCGUCGGGCUCUGGUUGUCCUGAUGGUCCAGUUAUUAAGGCGUGCUCCUCUACUUACAGACUAUAUGGAAGGGCCUCUUUCCCCCUCCUAUUAGAGAGAACAAGGUAGCAGUCCAUGUCAUUAUCUUCUAGGAACAAGUUCUUCAUCACUGCCAGUGCUUCAUCUUCUUCUGACCCAUACAUAACAUCGAUCGGUUGGAAAGUCUGCUCCUAAUAGGGUAUUGGACGCUCCAGCGGAUAGUAAGGACCGUGCUAUGGUGUGACCUGUUGUUGAAUACUUCCCAGGUGUACUCAUAUCUCAGACCAAAAGUGGUGCCAUGUUUCUUGAGUUUUAUGGGCUUAGUGAUUCCUUGGAGGUUCUUGCCGAGCCUUUUGCCAGCUUCGUACCCAGCCAAUUCAGUAUACUCUCGAUCUUGUUAUUCUAUCAUUUGUCUUUGUCAACAACAUUCACCCGUUUGAUGUGAUGGUAAGUCUCUCCCCUCGAUUGAUGUAAUAGUCUGGUGGCUGUAUAUAAGGUUCCUACUGUCGCCGUGAAUAAUUACUUCCUGGUGGUUCCAUACGAACUUUACUGCCUGAUACAAAGUUUAUGCUAUAGCCCCUGCAGCAUGAAUCCAUGGUCGUCCCAACAACAGAUUGUAAGAUGCUGGCACGUCUAUCACUUGGAAAUCAACAUCGAACUAAGUUGGCCCCAUUUUCAAACACAGACUAAUCUCCCCAAUAUUGAACCUCUAGGAACCGUCGAAGGAUUUCAUAUUGAUGACCCUGUCUUUUAUCUCAUACAGUCCCUUACCAAAUUUCUUGACUGUAACCAUCAGACAAAUGUUGAGGUCGGAUCCUCCAUCGAUCAUGAUUCUGGUCAUGAAGUAGUCCUCGUAUUGCACAAUGAUGUCUAGUGCUUUUUUGUGACCCAACCCUUCAGGUGGUGGCUCGUCCUCAUAAAAGUGGUCUUAUGACUUUCUGAUACAUGUACUACCAUAUUAGCCAUUUCCCCGCCAGUGAUGUUGUUGGGCACGUAUGCUUCACUCAGCACCCUCAACAGAGCAUUCUUGCGUGCCUCAGAAUUUUGUAGCAAAGCAAGUAUGGAGAUCUAGGCUGGUGUUUUGUUAAACUAGUCGAUGACCAAGUAUUACAUGGCCUGUAUAUUUCUCCAAAUACCGUCUGGACCUAUCUCAGUUAUGGGUGACCAAUUGGAGGCUUUCUUGCUUGACUCAGCUAGCUGUUCCGAGGUAUAGACCUACCAGAUCUCGUCAUACCCAUGUGCGGCAAUAGUUUCUUCGAACCUGACUUUGCCUUUCCUCCUUACCUCGGCUGUAUAGUCCCAUGGUAUAGCCUUUGUAUGGAAUGGUAUCAUGGUCGAUAUUGCCACUGGGAUCAGCGUGGGUAUCUUUACUCCUAACGGAGCAUGUGCCUUGGGUGGUAAAACUGCAACUUCAAACAGUGUAGAUGCACUUGCUGAAAACUCGAAUUCGACUUCAAUUGGUGUUGGUGUCUUUGCAGAUGACGUUGCUUCAAACUCAGGUGACGUGGACAUAUUUACCUCAGUGUCCUCAGAUGGGUGAAUCUGGACUAUGAUUGGAUUAAGCAUAACUACUAGCUUCUUUGGGUUAUUACCUUCUGCAAUCAAACCGAUUGAUCCAUCUGGAUCCCAAUCAUCCUCUAUUUCAAUCAUGUUUAUACCUCCACCUUUAUGGUCUCCCAAAAGAUUUUUGCCUAUUUGGAGCGGGUUCCUUCGCAAUUAUAACCUUGUUGUCAAUCAAAGCCUGGAUCUUGUCCUUCAAAGAACGACAUUCAUUGAUGGUGUUUCCCUUCAUGCCGGAGUGGUAUGCACAGGAUUUGUUUGGGUUAACCCACUGAUAAGGGUUCUUAGGAGUUGCAGCAAAUAUAGGGGUGACAUAACCAGCAACCUUGAGUCUUUCGUACAACUGGUCAAUAGGUUCGGCAAUGGCUGUGUAUUGUUUUGGAGGUCUACUAUCAAAAUUUGGUCGAGGUCUAGGGAAGUUUUAGCGUGUAGGGGGUGAUUGAUAGUUGGAUGGUUGAGCAUUGUAGGCUUGGUAAACAUGUGCAGGUUGGGAGUAUCUGGGAGAAGUAGGCUAAUAUGUGGGAGGUGGAGUUGAUUGAUAAGUGGGUGAUGGAGUUUGGUUGGAGGGUGAGAGUUCUUGGUAGUUCGGGGUAGGUUUAUAUGUGAGGUAUUUGAUAGGGGAUUUGGUUCUCUUUGCUGCCAUUACAGCCCCUACGUCCCUUCUCUUGGACAAACCACCAAACCGUAAGACCUUAUUCGUAGCUUGCAAGGCCUCAAAGUUUGUAACCAUGCCACUCUUGAUGCCCUCUUCGAUUACUUCACCCAUCUUGAUAAUGUCAAAACAUUUGUGGCUCGCAAUCAUCAUUAGCCUUUCAUAAUAUUGUGGGUCUUGAGUCAGACGAAGAAUUUGUUCAUUUGUUCCUCUUCUAACGCAGGCCUAGCCUUGGUAGUUUCGGACCUCUAGCGAGCAGCAUACUCUGGGAAUGUUUCUGUAGGCUUCUUCUUUAUAAAGCCGGAUGCCAUAUUUACCCUGUUCUACCACUUCUUUGGAUCUUGGCUAAUGUACCAAGACAUAGCAUCUCCUUUCAAGUUCCUUAUGAAAAGCUUCAUGCGGAUUCUCUCGUCUUUCUAUUCCAGCCAGUUUGUCACAAUACGUUCUCAAAAGGACCUUCAGUUCCCCUGUACCAUCAAAAAUUUCAAACUUGGGAGAUUUUAACCCCUCAGUCAGUUCGACAUCGAGCUGUAUGCAAUGAUUUUCACAAUUCAGCCCUUCAAUUCCCUUACUUCCUUCAACGCCUUGAAUCCGGCUAGUCAAUUUGUUAAGUUCUUCAACCACGAUCCUGAUAAGCAAGUCUUUAUCAUUAGACUCAGGUGUGCUUGAGAUAGGUUAGGUGGAGUGUGGUAUGGUCUCCUCGUAGUUGAGGGUGUUAUGAUUGGUGUGGAAGUGGUCAUUUGUGGAGUUCAAGGGUUCUAGGAUGAGCACUAGAGUAUUGUUUGAAGUAUGGCAGGUGUUAAAGUGGCGGUAAUGAGCGGGAUGGUUUUGUUACUUUGGGAUAUAUUGUGGAGGUGUAGGGUUCUAAGCAUUUGGGAAAUUGAUAUCUGGAUUGGUGAGGGAAAAUGACAUUUGCCAGAUUCCGAACCUUAUCAUGUUCUUCUUGGAAUUUCAGCAACUUUUGUUCUAUUUGGGAUGCAUUAUCUUUGGAAACCUGAGUACCAUAACCGUGAGUGACCUCUACCCAUUAAGUUGAGUUCUCCUGUCAGGUGUUGUUCAAAUCUUCCAUCUUCCCUUUGUUCUUGUUUUUGACAGGACUAAGAGGAGGAGUGGGNNNNNNNNNNNNNNNNNNNNNNNNNNNNNNNNNNNNNNNNNNNNNNNNNNNNNNNNNNNNNNNNNNNNNNNNNNNNNNNNNNNNNNNNNNNNNUCUUCCCUUUGUUCUUCUUUUUGACUGGACUAAGAGGAGGAGUGGGUGGAUGUCCCUUGGAUCUCGUCGAAUGGCAUGAUGUUUCCAGAGUGCACGAACUAACCUUUAGGGAGGGGAAUAAAACAAAAAGGUAACAAGUUAGUGAGGAUUUUAAAAAGCAUUGAGAUAUUUAAACACAUAGUGCAGAAUGUAAACCGUGUCCUAAUUUGGGAACCUCUUUGUGCCCGAGGUAGGCCUAGCGACAAAUUGAUUUGGAGAACUUAGAAUGAUAAAUACCUCACUUUUUGAUAAAAGGUAUACGAAUCUGAAAUCAUCACUAAAUAACAAGAAAUAAAGUCACUAGUGGCUAUUGGCCUUAUUAUAUUUCAUAAAGCAAAAAAGAAAAACUCCUAUCUAUUUGGUCCAGAAAGACCUUCACCAUAUUCGACAUCCUUGGCUCCGUCAAACAACUUUCCUAACUCACGAAGUCCCAGCAAUAGGUAGGCUCUGGGUAAAUGUCUUCCCUUGUUUCCUUCAGCAUUUUCGCCAUCCUCGAUCCUUUUGAGGAAUUUCCUUUCUAGAUCCACUAUGCCGCACUCCAAGUAUCCUAGUCGCUGGUUGGAAUUGACAGCCAUGUGUUUCCACCCCUCGAUCAGCUUUUGGUUGGCUGCUUAUAUCUCACUGUGCUCGUUUUCUCUUUCCCGGAUCCUCUUGUGCAGUUGAUUGUAUUUGACCUAUGCCUCAGCCUUUUCAUCUAUAAUCCUGUGAUCUUGAACAAACCCAUGGUUGCCUAGACUAUUAUGAUUAUACUCUAACCAGCCUGAAUAGUAGGGAGCACAACCACCGUGAUAUCUAUCUGGUUCGAUGGUAUCCCUCCCCAUUGCAAUCACGCAGUGCCAAAUAUAUUGAUCUUGGCACUUGUAUGGACUAUCAUCAUCCUAGAAGUCGGCCCGGAAAUGACUCAUACAACCUGCUUCCUAUCAUCUUGCCUCAUAACCCGGAGAAGGACUUAAAAGUUUGUUCCUCUCAGACCGACCAGUAUCAGAAAUGGUGCAUCCCUGGAUCGGGCGAUGAACUCCUCAGUAGGGAACCACUCAAAAAUCCAUUUUACCUGACCCUCAGUUAGAUUAUCAAAUAGCUCUACCAUCCCUUGGCGUCUUCCGGCUGAGCGAACGUCUUGGAUGAUGGAAGUCCAUAUGAUCAUCAUUGUCUCUUCGUUGAAUCUCUUGUCGGUAUUCAUCCCUUUGGAGAUGCUCCGUAAGCCAAAGCUGAAGUAGUAAAUACAACCUUCGAAGCGUUGGCUCCUUAUUGACACUUUUCCAAGGCUCGAGAUAUCUCCGCAAUGAUCAUAGGCACAAUGCUGAAAGGUUGUCCACCAAUUGCUUCCCAUAGAGUUUUGGUUAUCAUAGCUAGCCUGGCAUGGAUCCUAGCUUUCUUUAUAGGAAACACGAUCAUCCCCAGGAAACAAAACAUGAAUACAAAGUCCCUUCGGUGAAUAUGCUCUAAUGAUGUGAUGGCAAACUCGUCAGGAUAGGUAUGGUCGGAUUUGCUUUGACUGUAACUCUCGUACAAAUAAUUAAAAGUGAUGUAGGAUUCUUUUAGACAUGCAGAUCUUGAUUCUUCUUUAAACCCAUCCUUUUGAGCAAGCCCCUGCCUUUACGGGUUUCAGGCAUCAACAAACCCGGAGAUUCCCAUGCUAUAUCGGCCAAUCCUCCUAUUUCCUCUAGCAAGGGUGUCAUUUCAAUAUCCUCGAAGAAGAAUACGGACCUCUCACGGUCCUAGAACAAAGUAGCAGCUUCUAUGAUCUUGUUAUUGGGUUGGAUUUCCAGGAGGGAAUGUAGGUUUCCCAAAUAUUUUUGUGCAAGAGUUUGAUCAUUGGAGUGAAGAUCCUCCUACCAACUUAGUAGUUUUGGGUGGAAGUUGGUGACCAUGCCGAAUCUUGGGACUUCGUGCCACAUAUUUCUGCAAGACAAAUAAAGUUAGGCCCUUACUUCUAUCGGACUCGACUAUUUGAUAUCAACAAUUGCCAUAAAGCAUUUAGUUCUCCAAAUAAAUGUAAAACCGUGGUAGUGUCCGUUUGGAUUUAGGAAAACCAAAUGCACUUUGGACAAGGCUAUCUUAAAGAGUCAAUAUGCGGCCAACAUAACUGACCCGACUAGACUUGACCACGAUUCAUGCACAAAUUAAACAGAGUAAGGUUUCUAUGAGGUUUUAGACUGGUACCCUUGAGCAGACAACUCAAGGGGAAAGGCACGGAACCGUCGACUACACCGUUGAUCAACUAUUUUUAUCGUAAAUAUUUCUUUUCUGGAUUUAGGGGUGAUAAUAUCAAAAGAGCGAAACUACUCAUUAUAAGCGUUGCAAUGAUAUUUGUUUGGAACGGGUGGAAUAUGACGUUGAGCAUAGUUAUGUGAUAAUUAAAGACAUUUUGUCACAUAUUUGCAUGUUAAGAAAGCGGUAAAUACAACAGUUUCAUAAUUUAAAGCGGUAGUAAAGGAAAGAAACAAAAGGAAAAGUCAAGUUUGCAAUUAAAAAAGGAAUUGAAUACUUAAAGGAAUUAAACAAGUAAUUGCACAUAACGAAGUAUAAAUUUGCAAUAAUAGUUUGAAAUGGUAAAAGCCUAAAAAUCCCCAGCAUAGUCGUCAUGCUGUCGCACCCCAUUUUUCUCGCAAAAUCAGAUUUAUGGCAUUUGGAGGGACAACUCGUUCCUUUUGGAAUUGGGUUUUGGAUUUUUGAAGAGCUAUUACCUAAUGAGUUAAGGUGCAUUAGGACACCAAUAGAGAUUCAACUCUAAGUUUAUUUGGAUAACGAGAGAUUGGGCAAGGGCUUUAAAUUAUCCUAAGGGGAAGGUGUUAGGCAUCCCUCGGGAUCCACUAGCAUGGUUCCCGGCCAGGCAGUUAUUGUGAAUUUAGCAAAUAGACAAGUAUAGGCUCAAAUAUUGGGGGAUUUAAAUUUAAACACACAAAAGAAAGAAUAAUUGAAAGAAGAGUUUUAAAAGGUUUGCAAAUAAAGGGAAAGGGGGUCCUAGGUUUAUAUUUAAUAUGGAUCACCCCAUACAAUAUCGGGUAAACACUCCUCCGAGGGGCUACACGUGACAUUAUGACGUAGUUAUCAUAUCCAUAUCUACCCUUCCCACCCCGUUAAAGGUAUUACAGUACAGAUCGUUCUCGAUUAGUAUUGCAUGUUAUUACCCGUCCCAUUCCUAUCAGUCUCGGAGGCAUUUAGGACUAUUAUUCCUAGACGGGAAGGAUAUUAGGCUGAUUGGUUUCAGGGGUAAAAAAUCUAAGGCGACAUACAAAAACCACAUACUGCAUGUUGGCGAAGCAUAUAAACAGGAAAGGGCUCAUAUACACCUCUAUUAACAAAAGCACAUAACUAGCAUGACUUGCCCCAUAUUUUUAUGUCUGAUUAAAGUACUAAAUACAAGGGAAGUAAAUUAUUGGUGAAGAAUAGUUUAUUACAUAACUCAGAUAAGAAGUCUGAAUCAGACCUGUCUGCUGGUUGUAGCAAUUAAUAAAAUGGAUCCAGUUUACAGUUAUUACUCAAAGGCUUGCCUAAGUGUCUAGACGGGGUCCGAUAGACAUGAUAUCUACUUAAUUCAGAAGGUGGUGAAACUGUAAAAAAAACUCAAAAUAAUUUGUUUGAAAUCCUAUAAGCAUUCUUGCUAAACCUUGUUUAGAAAAGGGAAAUUGGGCCAAGAUUCAAAAUAGACGAGUUUUAGAUUAGACUGGGUACAGAUUCUACAUAUGGAUAGUAUCUUCGAUUACUGAUUUUAAUUCCUAUGAACGUGAUAUCUAAUAUUGAAUAGAAUUAGAUUUAUUUAGGAAUCCCUAGAGGCAUUAUUUCUAUACGUUACUUAUUUCAACAUGUUACUAGGUUAUAACUACUUGGACCCUAGAACUUGAUAUCUAAAAUGUGACAAAUGUGCAGAACUUUAGAUAAUCCCUAUGGGCAGGUUAUCUAGAUGUGAAGUUGUACAAGCAUGAUUUGAAGUAAGUCCUAGAGACAUGGUUUCUAAAUGUAGUUUGAGAAUGCAGAAUUAAAAGUAGUCGUACAGACAUGGUUUUUUAAUGCAGUUGGAAAAUGAAAAAUUAAGAGUAGUCAUAUAGACGAGGUUUCUAAGUGCAUAAUUGGAAGUAGUCCUAUAGGCAUAUAUUGUACCCUUGCAUGCAUAAUUAUCCAACCCUUUUCACUUUCCAUCCCCAAAUGUCAAUUACAAAUUAUUACAAAUCAAGAAUACUGAAUUACAUCAGAAAAAUACGAAGAAAAAAAUUAUAACCAGAGGAAGCACGAUUCUUGCUUCCUGUCUAAGUUAUCAGAUAAACCAACUCAAAGACCAUUGAUCCAAAGCCUUUAUCAGACUUAGUAUGUCUGGGUUCCCUAAGGACCUCAAUAGGACCCUAGGCAGUGCUCACACCCAAGUUUCAUAACCAGAAUAGAGACAAGUGCAGUGUGGAAAUGACAACCCUAAUAUGUCCAAGUUCAAAUGGAGCUCAUGGAUCCCAAGGCAAGGCUCACAUGAGGAAGCAGAACUUAAGUCUAAGAAGAGAGUGAAAGUGCAGAAACUGAGUAUUACAAAUUGAGGGAAUAAAGGAGAGGGAAAUGAUGGGAGACAUCCAUUAACACUUCAAAUAGUUGAUAACUUCGCACAAAGGGGCAGAGGAUUGGGAAUAAAGUGCAAGGAGCAUAUGUAAUUGAUCAAAAGUUAGCUUUGGGCAUGCACAUCAAUAGAAGAUGCUGGCAUACCUAGGUGCCAACUAAAAUACACAACAAACAGAGGGAACAUAAAGGUUAUGGUCCUAGAAGGACUAAGUUUGAAUCAUGGGCAACAAUAUUCAAUGUUGUCAUUCCCAAAACCAACCACAAGUACUAAACACAUUGGGGUAGGGAAUUGGGAUUCAGAAUACAUUGAUUCAGAAGAGGAGAAAUGAAACUACAACACGCUAAAUUAUGGUACUGCAUUAAAUACAAGCAGUAGGCAGAUAUGAAUGCAAGAAAAUUAAGUAAGCAUGUCGUUUUUAUGUUGAAAACUUAAUUAGAACAUACUAGUCAAAGAAGCAAAGUGCAGUAAAGAAAAGUAACAAGACUUCAAAAUAUAGCCUUGGAUCUAAACAUGCAGUAGCACAAGUAGUAGUAAAGCAAGAGAGAGUGUUUUAGUGUAAGUGAGAGUCAAAGCUAAAAAAGUUCAUGUUUUUUUUAAGAAAAGAAGCAUAGGAUAUUUAUAGUUUAUAAAAACAAGUGAAAGAGAGAUAAAUUACAAACAUGGAAACAAUCCUGUUCAGAAUCCAUUAUACAAGUGAUUGCCCUUAAUUAAGGGGUCAAUUGCUUAACGGGCAAUGACAGGUUCAAAAUAAGGAAAACAAUCAAUUAAAAAGCUGGAUGAUAGUUUCCAUAAAUGAAGUAAUAAAAUAACAAGUAAGAAAUCAAGUCUAGGCGAAGAGAAAUUUUAAUUUUUGGAAAGGAUUUAGUAAGGUAAAACGGGAAAAGAAAUCAAUUAACAUUAAUAGGCGUGUGAAAUCAGAAAUUCAUAAAGGAAAAUUUGAAAUCAGUCACAAGUUUGAAUAGCAAAGAAAGAAGGAAUUUUAGCAUAUAAAUAGGGUGCAUAAAAAGUAUACAUACGAGGCCAGGUCUGUUGGCAAGAGGAAAUAGCAUACAACAGUAGCACGAAAAUUUAGUAGACAUCAACACUCGAAGCAUGAUAGUACAGUAAGUGAAAUCACAUUGAGUUAGUAGUGAAAUAACAUAGAAUAUUAAAGGCAUGCACAGGAUAGCAGGUUAGGAAAACCCUUUAGAAAAAAUAAGAAUUUCGAGCAUAUUUGAGUUUUUGAGAAGAUAAAAACCCAGAUCAGAAGAAUCACGCAAAGGGAAUAAGAGAUUUCGAAAUAAAGAAAUUCAAAUUGAGUCAUGCACUUAAACGGACAAUCUCAGAUUCAAAACUAUAUGAUUUUCAACAACAGAAGAGUCUUAAAAAGAGUAUAAACAAAAACAUCGGACAAAAACUCAGGCAAACAAACAAUUGUCUAAUAAACGAUUAAAAGAAAUCAGGGGUUUUAACAUGCAAACUCAGACAGAAGGAUAAUACAAAUAAACACAGCAAAACAUAUAAAAAAAAAUCAAAAAAAGGUUUCAAAAUAACUUAACAGAAUCUUAACCAAAAGAUAAGGAGUUUUGAAAGUAGAGUUUUAAAAGAAACUUCGAGAAAAAGUGAUUAAAAGUUCACAGUAGACAUAGAUCUAAUAGAAAUCGAGAGAACCUUAAAGAUUAGGGUUUAAGAAGAACCCCAAGUGGUGAGAAAGACUUUGAAAACCAUCGAUAAGCAGGAGAGUUAAUAGUCGGACUCGAAUUGCCACGACCGACCAGAGAAAGGUCAGAGAUGAUCGGAGAGUAUGGGUGGGUAUCGUUCGGUUCGGUUCGGUUUUGAACAUUAUCAGUUUUUCCUAUCGGUUAUCGGUUUACAAAUAUCAUAACCUGAUAACCAAAUCGAUAAGAUAUUGGAAUCGGUUAUCGGUUAAUCGGUUAUAUAUUGUUAUCGAUUUGGUUAUCGAUUUACUCGAUAAGAUAAAAUAACUAAAAGGUUUUAUAAUAUACAAAAUAAAUAAAUACAACCGCCAGAACGUGUAAACUGUAAACAGCCAACUUUACAAGAUACUGAUGGAAAUAUUUUGUAAUAAUUGUUAGCUCCUCUGUCCAAAUAAUUGCAAUAAUAAUGGUAGAGCAACAUCACCAAUUGUGGUGGAACCAUCCUCAUUCUUGGAAUGAUAAUUUCACAUGAGUUGAGAAGACACCACAUCACUCUGAAAAGUCACAGUAAUGACAUUGCAUAACAGUUUCACAACCUUCUCGAACAAAUCCAAUCAAAGAGAAAAUCUGAUAUACCAAAUACUACAAGAUCAUUCUCAAAAAUAACUUAACACUUCAAGAUUCCCACUACAAGACUCACAUAUAUAAUUGAUAGACUGAUAUAUAUUAAUGGGUAAUGUGAAGGUUAGAAAAUUCAAAACAAUUAACAAGAAGCAAAUAGAAAAAUCUUAAGCCAAAAACUUACAUGAUGCGAUUGACGUGUGAGGGAGUGAGCCGUCGUGACUGGUAGAGAACUGGUGAGGCACUGGCGUCUGGCAGAGAAUUGGUGGUGAGUCUUGUAUCUUGACUUUUGGGGGCUACGGCGAAAACAAGAAUGAGAACUCAGACACAGACGAUUGAAGACUGAAGAGUGAAGAGGAAAUUAGGAAAAUAAAACCCUAGGAUAUACUUAAGGGUAAAUAAGUAAAUUAUUUCAUUCUUAAUGGGUUAUCGAUUUUUACUAAUAAAAAAUACAAACUGAUCCCGAACCAAUAACCCAAUAAUAAAUAUUUAACCCGUUACAGAACUAUUAACCCAAUAACCUAAUAAAGAAUUAACGGUCCGGGUUAUCGAUUUUACCCGAUAUAUGCCCACCCCUACCAGAGAGCGGCCGUAAACUGAAAUUGAACAAGGUCUCGACCAAGCUCUUUCAAGAUCUAGCCUCAAGACCAUAAUAAUCGAGCACGUAGAAGCCAUGGGAGGUGGAUACAGACCCCGAUAACCUUGGAAGCCAUUGAUUUGGGAGAUAUUAAGGUUGUAGUUGAGGGCGGUGCUAGGGUUCGAGAGGAUUUGAGACGGAAUUGAGAGAGAAGGGGAUUCUGGGGUGGCAGUGGGCAAGAAAUUAUUUAGGUUUAGGGGUUAAUUCAGGUUAAAAGAGGAAAGGACAGAUAUUGGCCGUUGAGCUAAAUGAUCAACGGGCGGGAUUGAAAGGGUUAUGUAGGGGAUCCGGGUUGGGUUAUUUAAGUGGGUGGAGGGUCGGUUUGAACGGGGAUUGGGUAAGGGUAAUUGGGCUUCAAAUUGUAUCUAAUUUGGGGCUCAAAAUCAGGCUACAUUAUAAAUAAAAUGGUCUAGAUUUUAAAUAGGCAAUUUUCCCUAUUUAUUUGAUAAAAAUAGCAAGUUAAUUUCUAAAAAAGAAUUAAAAGUAUUAAAAAGAUUUAUAAUCUAUAAUUAUUAAUUUAAAAAUAUUGGGCUUAAUUUUAAUAAGUAUAAACAUAAUUAAAUCUUAAGAGAGAUUAAUAUUGCAAUUUUAUGCAAUUUAGCUUUACAAAUACUAAAUAAAUUUAUAAAAAUAUGGAAAAAUUACAUUAGCUAUAUGUUGGCAUAAAUAUGAGAAUCCAAUAAACGAAUCACCAAAAAUAAUAAUUUUGAGAAUAAUUAUUUGGUUUUUCUGGAUAAACUAGGGCAAUAAACUAAUUUAAAUUUAUUUAAAAAAUUAAGAAAAAAUAAUAAAAUAUUUGGACAUACUUAUAUGUGUAUACAUAUUCAAUUUUGAAAUUAUUUUGCAUAUUAAAAAUAUAAAAGAAAAAACUGGGUAUCAACAAUAUGUAAUCAUGCCGUACGUUUUGUGCUCCUUCCAUUUUCCAAUUGGAGGCUCUUGGUUUUCCUGCUCAAGGCCUUCAUGUCUCUAUAAAUACGGGAUAAACCCAUUAUUUGAUUGUUUUACUUUUCAAUUAUUCAAGAACUUUGCAAACUUCCUUCCCCUUCUAUAGUUUUUCAUUCUUCUACUUCCACUCGAAUUCACUGUGAUCAUUACCCAUUGUUCCUUCAUAAUUCUUGUUUAUUUCGAUCAAAGAAGACAAAUGGCUAGUGCUUCUUCCUAGACUAAUAAAUCUAUUGAAACACCGUUGUCGAAAACUGACGUGUCCCUACUUGAAAAGGAAAUGGGAGUGGUGGAAAACGAGGGGUUUCCGACGGUGGAUGAGAUAGUCCCCCGUCUGUGGAAGACGAGGAUUGAUUUUAGGAGCCAUGCUAGAAAUGAAUCGCAGCCCAUUCCUUCCAUUAUGAAUAAUGCAAAGAUCCAUUUGCUCAAGGCCAAGUGGGUAAUCCAUGCCCAUAUUGAAAUGGUAACGGGGGAGAAGGAUAUUAUACAAUUGCACUGUUGGAGAUACCGCACAUUUUACGCAUAUCCCUUCGUUAUUAGAUACACGCUUCUCCUUCCCUCUCUGGUGGUAGACUUCUACCUCUACUAUGAAGUGUGCCUGACUAAACUCUCUCUGUAUGCGUACCAGCUCUUUCUUAUGCUCAUCAAGUACGCAGAGCUGGCCGGCAAAGGAAUUUUCUUGGGGCACAUGAUUCAUAUCUUUGCCCCUCAUUUUCUUUCAGGUGCGAUGAUCCACAUGCACCAUCGAGGAACCAAGAGUUUUGUUGUAAAUAUGGAUGAUAAGUCCGAUCGCAGUUUUUAGGAAAGCUACGUCUAUGUGUGGUCAUGAACCUUGUGGCAAACUAGGCAGGGUUUCCAUAGACGUGGAACUUCGCUCAUAUGUUUUGCCCAUGUUUACUUUGAAAUUCUUCUUAUAAUGGUCGUCUAUUGUCUUUCUUUUAGCGACUUUGUUGAGGACUUUUUUUUCUUGCUUUUACAGUCAAUAGACUACCUCCCCGCCUAGUUGCCAAUAUCCGUGAGUGGGUGAGUGCGAUUUCUCCCCCACAUGGUGGGGAUUUGUGUGUGGUUUCCCUUCUAUGAGAAGUUUGGCUGCAAGCCUCUUACUGGAGAGUCGGUUUGUUGUAGCUUCGCUUUGUUCUCUGCUUCAUAGUUUAACCUUGUUGUUAUAUGGUUUCUCCUUAUUGAUAGGUUGGAUAGUGCGAAAGAUGAUGGCUCCUCUGCUUGCAUUUUGUCAGCCGACAGCCCCUGCCCGACCUGCGUCAAGGGUUGCUGCCUGGCCUACUCCAAGAGCUACUGCUUGAUCUAAGCCUGAGGCUGAAGUCAUACUUGCGGAGGCUACUCCUCAUCUGGAGACUCCGAUUCCCGCAAUCCGUUCAACGAAAACUCUUCCCGUAUUUGUAGUGGGGAGGCCCUACCAAAGAGAGAAUGAUAGUCUUGGAAGAGGGUUUUCCAACCGAAACAUCUUCGAAGGGCAAGCUUGCCUCGGCGGUGCCCGAACGUGGUGGUGGUGCCAACCCAACUACGGAGAGGAUACUUGUUGUGAGCUAUCAAGGGGCUAGUGUGACGGAGAGAUGGAGUUUCAAGGCUGCCGUUGCUGUUUCAGGUGGCCCUUUAACAUCUUGUCAGAACCGCGCCCCUUCUUCGGACAAUGAGAGGGGGAAAGAUUUCAUGGUUGAGGAUUAUGAAUCCGAAUCCGACAUAGACCCUAAAGAAAUAAGUAUAUUCUACGAGGGCUUUGUCGAAACUGUGGUAAGAGUGAAAGGCUCUUUCCGAAUACUUGAAAUUUCAUCGGACCUCAAUCUGCUGCAAGACACAGUAGAUUUGGUGUCGUAGUUUGAUCUUAUGUGCUCUGAUACUAUAAGUGGAGCUCUUCAGGAUAUCAUUGACUUUGAGCUAUCACGUGGUGCAGCUGCGAUAGCCUAAGGGUAAGUUCCCCAUUGUGUUCUUAGUUUUGUCACCUUUUAUUCUAUGCUGACUCUUUCUUGGUUUUUUAGAGUUACCGAGACACAGGCCAAGAUCUAUUUGAAAAUGGCCAAAAGUAUCGAUGAUAUCGCAAUAGAUGGCGGGAGAUGCAUGAGCAGCUCAGAGCGGGUACGUGAAACCAAUCUAUCAAGGUGGAGUUGGAGAGAUGAGAUGAGAAACUGAUGCAGUCUAUCUGCAUAUAUAGCGAGCUUGAGGGGAAACUUCAUGCCAAGGAUGAAAAGCUUUAGGUGGGAAAAUGGGUUUCUACGGAGUACGAGGACCUUCAGGCGAAGGUAUCGUCUCUACGAUUUGAUCUUGAGCUAAACACUACUAUGUUUGACGCUUUGAGUGCGAAAUGGAUGGAGGCUGUGGCCAAGAUAGAAAAGAAAGUGGCAGAUUUUUAGAGAGCCAAGAAUUCUCUCUCAAGUCGAGAAUGCUUCUCAAGUUUGAGAGAAGAGAUGAGGAACUGAUGUAGUCUAUCCGCAGAUGUAGUGAGCUUAAGGAGAAAAUUUAUGCCAAGGAUGAAAAGCUUGAGGUGUGGAAAGGGGUUGCUAAGAGUGCGAGGUCUUUCAAGCGAUGGUAUCAUCUCUGUAGCCUGAGCUAGAAAAGAAAGUGGCCAAUUAAAAGAUUGCCAAUAAUGCUUGAGUGUCAGCAUUUGCGAGGGCGUCGACACUACAGGAUACUAUCUGCAUCCUCAAAUCCGAGCUGGAGUCUGAGAGAGUGACAACCACUCUAAGGAAGGGACGACUUGAGGAGCAAAUUGGUGAACUUGAUCGGGACACUUCAAUCUUGGGAGACCGAUUUGUGACUUUCAAAGCUGAGAAGGUGCAGUUAUUGACUCAAGCUCCCCCUCAAGAGUCUACUUUGUCCACUGUUCCCCACAGACUGUAUGAGCUAUGGGUCCAUAUCGAAUACUAACAUGAUAUAUACAAGGGUUUAUGCGAGGUGGGGAAUGAUUUCGAGGUAGAUUUUGAAGAUGUUCGGGCAAAGGCUCGCGAGGCUCGCACUGCUUGCGGUUAUGACCCCGCAACACCGAAGGCCGGUAAGGGUGUUGAUGUCGUGAAUGGGCUCCCUUCUGAUGGUAGUGAUGAUGUUAGGGAGAACGGUGGUGGGGAUGACGCUGAGUGAAGCUUUUGCCGCUACCUUUGUACUUAGUUUUUUGGUUUUUUUUGUUGUUUAUUUUCAUCGUUUUCUGAGGGUCUGUUUUAGCCUAUUGUUGGGUGUGGCUGUCGUGCAUGUAUAUUUGAAUGAAAUAGUUGUUUCACCUUUGUUUGUGUAUCUUUUGAUUUUUUUUAUGAUGAGUCCCUGAUCUUUUUGAUUGUGAAUCCGACCUUGUGUGUUCGGGCAUGGUUGACUUUUGAUUUGCUAACUUAGGCGGAACCAACCUUAAUUCAAACAAGGUCAAAUUUAGACAUGCCAACUUGGGCGAAGUUAGUUUCGACUUGUACACUUGAGUGGGAUUGAAUUUCGACUUACUAUCUAGGCAAAUUCAAUUUUUCCAUAAAUAUUUGAGCGAGGUUGAAAUCGGAGUUGCUAUCUUGGGCGAAUGUUUUAACUCAUAUAUUCGAACGACGUCGAUCUUGGGGUCGCCAUCAUGGGUGAAGUCAACUUCUAACUUAUAUGUUCGAACGAGGCCGAUCUUAGGGUGUCCAUAUUGAACAAAGUCAACUUUUGAAUUAUAUAUUCGAACGAGGUUGAUCUUAAGGUCGUUAUCUUGAAGUCAAUUGCUGACUUAUAUAUUCGAAUGAGGUCGAACUUCAAUCUAUUGAUUCGAGUGGGAGAAUUGUAAGGGUGUUAAUUCAAGCGAGGUCAAAAUCAUAACCCGUUGUAAAUUAAAGAGAGGUCAAACUUUCCUUUUGUUUGGUGAUGGCCGAUGGCUGUAAGGGUGUUAAUUCAAGCGAGGUCAGAAUUGUAGACCGUUGUAAAUUCGAGCAAGAUUGAAAUUUCCUUUUGUUUGGCGAUGGCCGUAAGGGUGUUAGUUCGAGUGAGGUCAAAAUUAUAACACAUUGUAUUAUUUAUACUGGAGAACUCGCCACCGCAUUGUUUACACUUUCGUCGGGGAAAAUCUCGAUUUGCUCAAUUUUGCUUUCAUUGGAGAAUAUUGCGCAUUUCAGGGGUGAGUCUCAAUUUGCCUAACUUUGCUUUCAUUGGAGAAUGUUGUGCAUUUCGUGGGUAAGUCCCUUGUUUUGGAGAUUGUUUUCAAUAUUUGACCCCUACCAUUUCUAUUAUUUUUAGUAUAAUACGACUUAGAGGGCUUUGCUCGGUUGUUGUUUGCGAGAUAGCAUGGUAGGGAACCUUUUUUUGGGGUGUUUUGGUAGUGUUCGUUCCAUGUUCGCAUUCCUGUGAGAGUGCUCGUGUUCUUAUUUUGAACCAACACGAGACUGUGAUAACUUAAACCCAAACGAAAUUGCCUUACCUUGGCCUGGGAAGUCGGUGAAAGGAGGAGCGGUGUUGUAGGGUCGCUUGCUUCACCUCAUACCCGAAUGAUGGUUUCAGAUUUGGUAGCUGUGUUUAGCUUCAUCGUUAUUUGUGUCUAGGCUUCAUAGGUGGGACUUACCUUGCCUGUUGGGGUAUCGAGACCGACUCCAAGUUCGACCCUAUCUGAUAUAUGCAAACAAUAAAGCAAAUAUAUUAUAAUUUGUUCACAAAUCAUCAUAUGCGUAAAGGUACGAAAAUAAAGCAGGAUAUGCCCGCUAUUUCAAAGGGUCACAUUGUAGUCUAUCAUCCCUUCGUAAGGGGUAGAGGUAUAGGUUGGUAUAUAAGGUGAAUAUGUCAUAUGCAUGUUUAAAGUAGAAUCACGGUCACUACAGGUGAAGUUUGGGUUUUGCAUAGGUAUCGAUCACAAUUUCUAUUAUAUCUGGAGAUUUGGCCUAGAUUGGUACGGUUACCUCAAAAGCUUAUUUAUUAUUCUUUUCGAGUUGGUGUUUGUACCGAGAUGGUGAAGUUAUAACAGCCUCGAAGUAUUAUUUAGUUGGUUCUAGAUCUAAAGGAAAGUAAAAAUUUGGCUAAGAAAUCCCCAUAGACGACGCCAAAUUGUUUGACCAAAAGUGCUAAUCUUUUUGUUAAGCCAAUUAAUAAUAAAAAUAGAGGUAAAUCUUAGUCAAACAUAAUUAAAUCUAGAUUUAAGGGUAUUCAGUAUGAGAAUCGAAUGAGACUAAGUUAUAUAACACUUUGUAGAAUGAUUAAAAGACAUCAAACAUAAAUGAUAAGCUUAUAUCUUUGAUACAUUGUUCCACACAUAUAAGAGCAAAGAAGAUAAGGAAAGAAUGUCGUUAAUAACUACGAGAUCUGUCUUUAUUGAUUCAGCAAUGAUAAUUACAAAGGUUUACAACCCAAAUCUAUGCUUCUACUCUGUUUUUGAAGGUCUCCUCCAAAUUGUUCUAUUCCUUUUUCUCCCCUGAAACCCCCCUUCUUGCUUUCUCCUUUGUUGUUGAAGGCCUCCUCCAAAUCUUCCCCUUUAUCCAAAGGUUUUUAACAAGCAUAUCCCUUCUUGACUAUAUUAUUCUUUACUCAAUCAAGUGUUAUGUCAUAUAUUCUGUCAUGCAAGCCUUUCGAUGGCUCGAUCUCGGUCGUGACCGAGACAUUCGUCGCCAUUAUGCCUUAUGGGCAUGACAAGAGCUUGAUCGACUCUUUACCACUCUUUUUAAUGAUAAUUUAUUUGUGUUCAGAUUUUGACCCAUACAUCGAUACCCGAUUCCAAUAAGUGAUAUAGGUAAAUUAGAUUAUAAUAAGGCCCUAAAGAACCAUAUUUUUUUAUAGCUUUUACGGUAAGGAGUGAUAAUAAAAUACUCUGAUUAGUGCUUUUCAUGAUUUGCAGGAUAUAUCCAAUACAUGAAGUCUGUGGAGUACUUUUGGGAUCAAUUACGGAUUAAAGGAGGUCAAUCUUACAAUAUCCACAAAGUGUUCCAAGCGAAGGGAAAAACGAGAACUGAAGCUGGUCUGCCGCUGUUCGAGUGUAACCACGGUAGGACCACGGCAGAACACUGUUACAUAUUUUGAAGGCUACUUUUGCCAUGGUCCUUCCGUAACUACGGUAGGAUCGCAGCAGUACACGUAAACUCGAGGGACCAAAGUGUAAAACACGGGAUUUUAAGCCCUAAACCUUAUAUUAAACCAGGAAAUUGGCCCAAGAGAGGCAGGCUUGUUUUGAGAUUA
rnacentral:lncRNA from 1 species